UGAGUGAUUUCAUGAGAAACAUUUUUUCGUGUAAUAAAUGGGGCGUUAAAAGAGGAUAAGGUCAAGGUGCUAAGAUUGGUUGCUCAUUCAAAUUUAAACUUUGUUUUGAAUUUGAAUGGCCAACCAAUCAUCCUUAUCCACUCAUUUGGUGCAUUAAAGUAGGGCGUGAGGAGGGCUUUGCAUGAGAAAAAAUUCAUGAGAACUUUCUUCUCGUGAAUUCAAAUGGGCACAGUGGA
rnacentral:lncRNA from 1 species